rnacentral:snoRNA from 1 species
AAACCGUGAUGUGGGCACAGAGUGGUGUAGCUUUUAAACCUCUCCCAAGCUUCACAGAAACUUUCAUUGUUUUUUUCAGUGAAGCCUGAGAUCUCGUUCCUCAAUUU